GCUUGUCUCAAAGAUUAAGCCAUGCAUGUCUUAGUGUAAAUAACUCUUAUGAAACUGCGAAUGGCUCAUUAAAUCAGUUAUCAAAUACGUGAUGGUCGCCUACUACAUGGAUAACCGUAGUAAUUCUAGAGCUAAUACAUGCACAAAAUCCCGACUUACGAAGGGAUGUAUUUAUUAGAUACAAACCAACAUCGUGGUGAUUCAUAAUAACUUUCGGAUCGAUCUUCGGAUCGAUGCAUCAUUCAAGUUUCUGCCCUAUCAGCUUUGGAUGGUAGGGUAUUGGCCUACCAUGGCUUUAACGGGUAACGGAGAAUUAGGGUUCGAUUCCGGAGAGGGAGCCUGAGAAAUGGCUACCACAUCCAAGGAAGGCAGCAGG
rnacentral:rRNA from 1 species